CCAUUAUCAGAUUGACGUUUUGAAGAAUUAGGUUGCUCCACAUAUACAUACUUUUUGUUCUAAGAAAGGUGAACCUCUUAUCACCAACACUAACUGGAAAAGGCAAAAUUCUUCGUGGAUCUUGUGAUUAUUGAGCAGUACUUAUUUUCCUCAAAAUGUUUCUUCUGUUUAAUGUGCUUGUGUGUGCUCUGUUUCUGAUGGUAGGAAAAAAGUAAAAACUUGGUCCUUUUCUUUUGUCAGAAGCAGUUCACAUGAGUUACAAUACAGCUACAGCUGAGGUGAUUAAGCCACUGUAAGAACACUUUCCCCAGUGUAAUUUUCAAUUCAGGGGAAAAGGACUCUAAAUUCCCUCAAUACUUGAUCAGCCAAGCAUAAAAUUUAAACUGAAGUGCUACAAAUCCUCAAGCUCCCACAGAGGCAGGAUGUGCAGCAACGUCAUAGUGUGAUUAAUUCAUGAUUCGACAACUCUCUCACACAAUUCGAUUCCCGGCACCACCUAUCCAGAUCAAACAGAGAGACGAGCAGAUGCCAAAGGCACAACAUAUAUAAUGCAUUUACGCAAGCAGAUCGAUAGUCAAACACAUACAGAAGGCUGACACGAUCACAAAGACGAUCAAUUCGCUCGAGGCGUCAUUAAGUAUGAUCUCGUCAGCUCGAGCAACAUCCACACCGCAACCACUGAUCAUUAACAAUUCAUACCGUGAACUGAAGACUGUUCGGAGGCUUGUUGAUGGGCAAAGAGUAUUCAACGCCAUCGAGAGUGAACUUCCCCUCCUCUAUCCUGUUCCCGACCCGCCCCCACAAUGCAGCCGAAGAACGGCGCAGCAACUUUCUGCGCAGCACAGAAAACACAAAUCGACCCACAAAAGACAUUCAUCAACCAAAUCUUCCAAAGUUCAAUCCCACAUCAAAACCGACGAAAACAGCCCAAUUGACCAUAAAGUUUCGAAAUUUUCAGCAGAUCAAGAGCCGCGGAAGCGAAGAAAACGGAAAUGCGCGAUCACCGACACAUCUCCACAAGCGCGGGAGGCCAAAAAGUAACGAACUUUCUCACCAGAUACGGCUCGAGGGAGUCGAAACCCAGGACCACAUCCGCCACUUUCCCUGAAAGCAACGAAAAAAAAAGGACAGGCAGACACGAUCGAGUCAUCAGCAACGAUCCGACCAGAACAGAGACCANNNNNNNNNNNNNNNNNNNNNNNNNNNNNNNNNNNNNNNNNNNNNNNNNNNNNNNNNNNNNNNNNNNNNNNNNNNNNNNNNNNNNNNNNNNNNNNNNNNNGAACGGAGAGCGAGGCGAUGGUGCAGCCGAGGUUGGCGAUCUUCGCCCGCAUGGUCCCAUUGUCGAGCUCGAACAGCUCUGCUUGCCCGGCGUGAUCCGCUAUAAAGAUUCUUCCUUUUUCUUCUUCUUCUUCUUCUUCUUCUUCUGGGAAGAGCACGAUCUUAGCCAGUUUCUCCACCGAGUUUAUCCGAAAUUUUUAGAGAAACAGAUAGCGUUUGAAUUUAAGUCUAAUAUAAAAUUUUGGAAUCGGAUUCUAUCAAUAUCGAACAUUUUUACAUAGUAAAAGUUUAGGAAUUAUAUUACACAUUGAAAUAAAGUUUAUAAAUCACAUUAAAUAAAUUAAAAAUUUAUUAAUCAAAUUACACAUUUAAUCAAAAUUUAUGAAUUAUUUGUAUCAUUUUUCUAUUUUUUUUUUUGCUAUUGCCACGUGGAGAGUUAAGGAAAUAAGAUAUACAAAGAUUACAUCAAUAUACGAUAAAGAAUCACCAAUCACUUAUUAAUGUUAUUAAUAAAUGGAAAUUUACUGUCCACAUUGAUUUUAAUACUUUUCUAUAUGAAAUUUUACCAAGUAUAAUGAAUAUCACUAGUCCAUAAAAUUUAUUAGUUUCUUAUAGGAAAUGUUGCUAAGCAUAUCCAAAAUUAUUUUGAUGCAUAUGAAAAUCACUAACCACAUAUAUACGUUAUCGGUAAAUGAAAAGGUAUUGACUAAAUUUACAUAUUUUAUUUUUUUAUGUGAAAUCUUACUAAGCAUAUUGAGAACUUCUUUACAUUAUCAAUCAAUUAUAGGUAUUCCUAGUAAGAAAAACCUACCGAUAUAACUAGUUAUUUCCUAUAUUAAAAUUUUUUUUGCGCAUUGAAAGUUUACUUCGAUAUGUAGGAAAAUUACUUCCAUGAUCAUGAAAGUAAGGAAGUAAUUUUGUUCCUAUAAGCAAUUUGUAUUUUUCUAGACUGUUCUUUAGUAAAUUCUUAACUUGAAAAUGAUUUAAAUCUAUCCAAUCAAUUAGUAUUCGCACUUAUCUGUAAUUUUUCAUUUUCUCUUUUCAGUUAGUAAAUUUUGACAAGUAUUCCAUAGUAAUCUAUAGCUAUUAGUCAAAUUAAAUUUCUAAGGGUUUAAUACAUUCCCAACAUUAGAUGUGAUUUAUAUGACCAAUUUGUUAGAAAUCUUAUACAAAAAUCUGCAUAACAGGUUGCCAGCUAAAUUAUAGUAUCUUGAUCCAACGGUGCUCAUUGUUUUAUGGAAAACGAAUAGUGUAAAUUAUCCACGUACGCUUAUCCGUAGAAGAGACCACGAAAUUAUAGAGCUUGCCAAACUUUCAAGCAAAUCUACAUCUAUCCCAUAGGGCAGCUCUUCAACGCACUCUCUUAUUAUUGUUAAAUUGGAAUAGAUGGUCCUCUCUCUCUUCAUAAUUUUCUAUUCACUAGCAAAAGAGCCCGUGCGAAAAGAAAAAAAAUAAAAAAUAAACGCUCGAAGAAUUAGUUUAUUCGUAAAAAAAAACAAUAUAUAUAUAUAUAUAUAUAUAUAUUAAAUAAGAAUGAUGUUGACUUACCUCAAGAAAAUAUACGAAAUAUGUAUUCAUUCUGUUGGAAAAAUAAUUAUCACAUAUUAAAAAAAAAUAUUUGCAUAUUGAUUUUUACCAAAAAAAAAUAUUUGCAUAUUGAGGAAAACACAUAACACUAUUUGUUGGAAUUAGAAAAAUAAUAAAUUUGAGAGAAUAAUAACAAUAAUAUAGUGAUGAUCAAGCCAAUGUUUGUAUAAUAUUUACAUAUAAUGAUGCUCAAUCACUUUCCAAAUACAAAAUUGUUUGAUUAUAAUAACAUUUAUAGAAAAUUAAACAUAAGGUGAGGUACGGCUAACCGAAUUUCCCUAAGUCAAUUAGUUCUAGCCAAUAGUGUUAAGUAGCUUUAUAAACUAUGCUUCCCAAGAUAUAAUAUCUCGAAUCAAUAUAUAUUAACACUAUACAAAAUAGGAUUAUAUCGACUACUUCUAGAAAUCAGCACACUUGGAGGAGUGCUUUUCCAAAGAGGAAUUCUAAAUUGUGAAUGACUAUUUGCCAUGAAUUAUAGAAGAUUCCGAAGAUAAUCAUUUUCGUAAGCUGAUGAUUAUCUUAGAAUUGUUGUAGAGAGAUUCUAGAAGAUUGGUCAUUAACAAGUCCCUUAAUUCAAGUAAAAUCUACUGGUCAAAAAUGAAGUAAUUUGUCCCUUAACGCGUCCAUCCAUUAAUUUGUCCAUAAUUGAAUCGCAAAACUAUUGUAUGUCAAAACUGCUGAAAAAAUGCAUCCCUUAACACAUCAAUUAAUUCGUCCAUAAAACUAUUCCACGACUGAUGCACGAGGGCUUGAGAAGGAACGCAUCCAUUAAAUUGUCCAUUAACACCGAAGGUUGUAUAAGAAAUGCACGAACUUAUGUUGAGUUGUUAAUAUCAUUAUUUUUUUGUUUUGAUACCCAGGGAACCUCGUACAGCCGGUAGUCAGCGGGUAAACCCUGGUGCGACGCUAGCAGAUAACCCAUGACCCGACGUCGCGCUUAAGAUCCCAUGCGGCCAGCGGGAUUCGACCCCCUCCACUUUUGUUAGUUUCAUUGGAGAGCCUUAUCCAACUGGGCCACUGCAAGUGGUGGUUUAAUACCAUUAAAUGCAAGAAAAAGAGAAGGGGAAUAAUCCCCAAUUGAAUUUCCUAUGAGAACGGGAAAGUAAUCCCCAAUUUCUUUCGAUUUCCUGCUAGAACAGGAAGGUAAUCCCUAAUUUCCUGCGACCUUCCCAUACUUGGUCACAUAUCGCUUCAUUCCUUCAGUAUAUAAAUUGACACAAUUCACACCCAAUUCCUAUCUCACACACCAAAUAGCUUUGAACUCCCAAUAAAAAGAAAAAAGAAACAAAAGAAGGAUGAAGAACUUUCAAGUUGCAACAAUCCUUGUGCUCUUUUUGUUCUUAACGACAAGUAAGCUUUCUCUUCGCGAUACGUAUGCUUCUUCAUCUUCUUUUUUAAAGAUUUACGUACUUAAAUCAUAAGGAUUAUAUUAUUUACACAUGCAUGAUUUUCAACCAAACUAAUUUCUUUAUCAUUCGUUUUUUUUUUUGGGGGGGGCAUGAAGGCGAGGUGAUAGUAGCGCAGACUCCGGUGGGUCCAUGUUUCGAGAGUUAUGAUCUUCCCGGCUGCAAUCGUGAAGCGUGCAUCGACUUUUGCAUUAAUAAGACCAAGUUGGCUUUGCCUGAGGGGGUUUGUAGCGAGGAUGGAGCCAGUUGCCUUUGCAUUGUAGUUUGCCAAUAAGUAAAUGCUCCUCUCUCUGUAACUGCCUUCAAUGAAGGGAUCAUUUUGUGACGUUUUCAAACCCACACACACUCUCUCUCUCACUCUGUCCCCAAAUAUCACUAAUCUCGAUCUAAAUUAUGUCUACAAGAGUGAUAUCUCAAAAUGCCGAGUAAUUUUAUUGCAAUCGAAGCUUCAUCACUCUCUAGGACGAGCCAUACAGGCAUAAGGCACAUAGAUUGACAACGGCACGAGCCGCUGAUACUCACGAUAGUAACAAAGUAAAUUGAUGAACUGAUUGUCUUGAAAAUUACGAGACUUGGAAAAUGCCCGGAAAGCCACGUUGAUUGUCGAUUAACGAUUGGCAUAAAUCGGAAAAUCUGAGCAAUCGAAAUCCUUGUGCAAUAAAUGGACGACUAACGAUUGAAGGGACCUUGACUAUGCCUUGGUUCUUGGAGUUAAGGUCUACAAUGAUUCGAAUGCCCAAUUCUCGUUUUCAAAGAAGUUGAUGGCGAGAGAUCUUGUACGAGAAGUUUGGUUUUGCCUACAUUGAAUAUGUGGUAUCAAGAAAAUUUCUGCAUUUAUUAAUAUGUAGGAAUUUUUUUAUGAUCAAUGUUAUGUGCGAGAAGUUUAUGCAAUCGAUUGAUGUGACGGUUACAUUUGAGCAAUGGGUUAGAAACUUACAAAGUUAAUUAUUUACUUAUGUUCGAAAAAUUUUAUUAAAUGUUUUGACAAGUUCAAAAUAUUUUUCAAAUUGAUCAAUAUUUAGAACAUACAUUGUUUUUUUUUUUAUAUAUUGAUUUACUUGAUUCCUUAGUAUUCCAAUAGAAAAAGCUACUAUAGAAAGUCGUUAUUUUGGCUUCUCUUCCAUUGGCAGGAGAGGCUUUGAACUUUAUAUUUUAAUUUAGGGAUAUGUUAAGUCCUAAAACUUGUGACGAAAGUGUAAUUGAGUCCUAAGAUUUACAAAAAGUGCAAUUAAAUCCUAAAACUUAUCAAAUUGAUUCAAUCAAGUCCUAAAUUUAACAUCGUCAAUUUGACUAAUGGUAAAUACUAACAUGGUUUUUUAAAAAUACUUUCUCUUUCCUAUGUGGCAAUGACAUGGCUUAAAUUAUAAUUUGUUUAACCAAAAUAUUAAUUAAAUUAAAGAAAAAAGUAUUUCAAAAAACCAAAUAAAAGGAAAAAAAUGAAACUAUGGGCAAUGGCGGUAGGCCCUGACCGCCGUUGCCUUCGUUGCCAGAAAGGGUUGGCGAGGGUCCCUAGGGCCUCGACUAGGGCCAGCAACUUCACCCAAAUCUGGGUGAGGAUCGCGACCCUUGAGCCAAAUUUGGGCAAGGGUUGCCAGCCCUUAACCUGCUAUCGUGGCCCUCAGCAAGGGUCAUUGGAUCACAUCGAGGGUAAAGAAGGUAAAGUUGCAGUCUCAUAUGUUGAUUAUGUUGCCCUAAACAUUUGUGAUUGUUAUGUGAGGGCAAGUGUGAAGGUGAACUUUUACUUUAGAUUUCAUUUGCUGGGUUUAGUCUCAUUCCUUUAUUUUUCUAGAAAUGUAAGAUGACCCUUUCGCCGCUACCACUUUUUGAAGCCCAAGUACACAUAAAGUAUGAGUAUGAGGAGGUUGUGUUGCCUAAUAUUGUUUUGAUGUAUACCAAGUACACUACUACAAUAUGAGUCAAUAUAAGACUUGUCAAAUGGGUUCCUCAUCGGUAUAUAGUUUGGUCUGUGAUAUUCAAAAGUGACUAGAUGAGACUGCCAUGAGGCUUUGAUGGUCCUCCUAGUUAUGUUGUCAAGGAGCCAAUGUUGGGGUAUGUUAUUGAUUCUUAGAUGACAGAUCAGUGUUGUACAUGCAGGUUUUUGAGAGCAGCAGUAUGGUAGUGGAGAUAGGAAUUACCAUAUGCCAACAUAUAUAUAUAUAUAUAUAUAUAUAUAUAUAUUGUAGAUAUUGAAAUUUAAUCUUGUUGCAUCCUAUAUGCAAGUACUCUAGCCCAUGAGCUAUGCCAAGGGAAAUCUAGUACAAUGUGUCCCGAGUCAACAGUUGAUCUAACUCCAAUGUGUUACUCCUAUUAAAUAUGAACUUUUCAAGGGAUCCGUUAGGCAUGAACUCAUAAACCAAAGCUCUUUUGCUUUCUUCAAAACAGAAUCCCAAGAGGUUGCCAACAUUGACAUGAGAAGUCCUCCUACUUAUGCUUGCAACUUCAUUGAAAAAUUCUUCAGCAUCGCCUUUCUUUAGAAGCUUCACUGCCACAAGUUGGCCAUCUUGAAGCUUGCCUUUGUACACACAACCAUAGCCUCCUUGGCCCAACUUUUCUUUGAAAGAGUCAGUCAUCCUCUUGAUGUCUUUAUAGGUGUACCUUCUCGAAGAGAUGAGUCCCUCGAUUUUCUUUUUGCCGUCGAAAUAUUCACUCCUUCACUUUAUCAAAGCCAUAAUUCUUCUUAUCAUUGGUUUCUUCUUGAAGGAAAGCAUUAAAAUAAGGGCGAUCCCAACUUCAUAUGUAAUCAAGUAAUAAGGUGACUAUAGUAUUUUCCUUUUCUAAACUCCACGAGGUUAAUCUUUUGCGGCACGGCGAUACUAAAUAAUUAUAAUAUAUAUGCUUGGUUGUCAUGCCAAAAGCACACACAUAGGAAAAAUGACACUUAAGUUCAUAAAUUUUGACUCAAUUUGCAUUGUCAUCCAUUAAUUUUUGGUUUGUUUAAAUGUGAUGUUUGGAUUAUUCUUAAAUGUUCAAUGUGAUCCUUUUGCUUAAUCGAACAAGGAAGAAAGUUAUUACAAGCCCCAAAACUAGUGUGAAAUGUUCAAUGUAAUCCCUAAACUAUAACAAAAUAUGCAAACUAGUCUCUAAACUAUUGUGAAGUGUGCUAUCAAUUCAUAAACUUCCAUUGUAUUUAGUCUAGUCCCUCAACUUUCCAUAACAAAGUCAAAUCGAUCUUUCAAUACUAUCUAUUUACAAGUUUGCAUAAUUACAUUAUUGCCCAAAUUUUAUAAUAUAUUUUCAUUUCAAUCUAUUUCCCAAAUAAAAAAAAUUAUUCUUUGUUUUUAUUAGAUUAUUAUCCUUUCAAUACCUAAAAAUAUUACAAUAGUUCUAUAUAAGUAUAUUUUAGCUUGCUAUCUCUAUGAUAGUAAAAGUAAAAUAUCAUUAAAAAUUGUAUCAAAUUGAUAUUCCUACUAUUUUAAGUAUUAAGUGAUUUCAUAAAGAUUAUAUCUAGAAACGAUAUUAAUUUAUCAAUAGAUACACAUACUAAUAUUAAUCUAAAACUUACUCAUAAUCUUUUAAAUAGAUAAAAAAAUUUACGCUUUUAUGUUACUUGUUUUCUUAAUAAAGUUUAGUUAAAUCCGUGCUUUUGGGGGGGGGGGGUGUAAAAGUAUCAUUUUCUUCGGAACAUUUACUGUGAAGCAUGAAAACACACCGUCGUAUCAAUAAUUGUAUUGCUUGUUCGCACUGUGCUAUAAAUUUCUUGAGGAUCCUUGCAUAUGCAAAAGGGACGAAACAUGGGCCUCAGGAAGCAAGAACGGUGGGUGAAUGAUUGGGCCUUGUAGACUCCGACCCAGAAAGGAGGCAUUUGAUGACCUAGAGUGUCUAGUAUGAGCAAAUAAAGGUGCUUGACACUUUGAUUUAAACGACAGAAAAAAAAAAGAAAGUCAUUGUUCUGAUAAUCGGACCGGACUAGCAGUUUAACCGGGCAUUAGUUCGAUUUUCGGCCAAUUCAUUUCUUUUUCUCCACUUAAGCCAAUUCAACCAAUUUUUGUGGGACAAUCCACUAUUAACUAGUAUAAAAGGAUCAUUCAAAAGAUAUUAAAACCGAGUAGUCCCAAGAUUAGGUACAAUAAUCACUAAGCUAACCGCGAGAUUGACCCUUGGACCAUCGGAUUAGCACAAAUAAUCCACCAAACCAAUUCUCAUUUUUAAAAGGUUAAUCUUUCUUUUUCCCAGAAGGGCCCAACAUCCUAAGCUCCCUUCAGGAAUUUGCAAAUUAUGAGCCCAUCAUGGGGCUCACCACCUGAUGCUGAUGGCUACCCUUUUGCACUUUUUUCCCUUGAAAACAAUUUGAGGGAUGAAAUUAUUCUAGAAUAUGGUUGAGAAUAUGCUGUGUGGAUGAUGCUAGUAUGAAGUUAAUGGCCGAAGCAUGUUCCCUUUAGUUUCAGAAACUCAGAAGAGAAGUCCCACCAAAUUGAAGACUCGGAGAGAGAGGGAGAGAGAGAUUGUGGGCUCCUCAUUAUCUUCAACCCCCAAAAUCGACAUUGGUCGUUACAUCACUCAUGUGCCCUUCUCUUUCUUGCCCACGAAUGGACCACCUAGUACAUUUGUGUCCACCACUCAAAUAUUGUUCCUAGCACCGUAGUGCUAAUGGGAGACAUGCAGCAUGAUCAUCAAAUCCUAGCCGUCCAUACAUAUUUGGGCCCUCAAAAAAGAUAACCUGCUUGCAAGUCACUUUCAAGAAAUAUUACACCAAGUAACCUUUUUGGGACUUUGGAAGUUUGUGCCCUAGAAUCAAAGUGGGGUUUAUUUUGCACUUUUAUAUUUAUCGCCCACUGGAGGGUAAAAUUAUCAACAAAAAAAAAAAAAAUCUUGUUAGCUGACGAUGUCAUGUAUCAUAAUCAAUGUCCACGUCGAUGAUCUCUAGUUAAAAUUGGUCGGAAGGACUAUAUUAGUUAAUCGUCAAAAAGUUAAUGACUAAAUUAGUCAAAUUAAAUAAUUUAUAAAUGAAUUGAUAUUUGUACAAUAAAUAAAUAAAAAAUUGGUAAUUAUCUCAUCAAUUAAGUACAUAAGAUAAUAGUACGAUCAAAGAGAAGCUAAUGCUUCACUUUGGGCAUGUCACCUUUGAUUAGGACAUGUUUAAUGUACAUGUUCUAUACAGAAAUUCAAUGGUAAGACUUGCCUGUCAAUCUGUGUUGUCUCAAUAGCCACUGAAAAGACAUGAAGGAGGAGAUGUGCUUCAGUGCUUUUUGCUAAGUUAGGUUCAUGUCAUGUACUUUUCACUUGAUCGAGAAACAUAUAAUAUAUUCGAAUGAUCGAGAGGAAGUUUAUGAUUUAAAGCUGGACAAACAUAUAUUGUAUUUUUAUUUUUUUUUAGCGAGAAAGAAUUUAGUCCUAGCCUAAAAAUUGCAUGGCAAGUGGAAAUUCCUAAACCCUAGAACACUCAAUUAACAUACCGAAUUUCCUUUUAGUUAAGCAGCCUCAAGUGGAAUGGCUCAAACCAGCCUUUGUCCUCUUCCAGUGCCAUUUGUUGAAUUCUUUCAUGGUUCAAUAAAUAAUUUGAGAAGCCAGCCAACGAUUUGCAGCACGCCAGUGAAGAAUUUUUUUUCACAUUUUUUUUAAUAAAAAAAUUGAAUUUCCAAUUAUCACAGUCAGUAGUCCUGCUUCGAACCUAGGGAAAGAAGGGGGAUUAAAUAAUGAUCCUAAUUUCAAUUUUUAUUACUGUGGGUCCACUGAGUGACUUUUAACAGUGGUAUUCAAGUCAGUUUUUUUUUUUGGUCGAAAAUACUUCAUUGAUUAAUACUAAGAUGGUGGAUUAUAACUAGUAAGAAAUCCAAACAUAAGAUAAGAUAAAGUUCGUGCGGGGGAUGAGAUACCGAGUUACUAGGAAGAGAACCUAUAUUAUGGGAUUUGAUGAUCCAAUCAACAGCUCAGUUUGAUUGGUGCGGUUCAAAUCACAAAAAGACAUUCUUCAUUUAGGCCAUCAUUUUUCUGCAGUCCAGGACGUAAGGGCGAGAGGCCAAGGAGAUUUCAGUUCGGCCCAAGAUGGAUUCCAUGACCGGGAGAUAGUCGCUAGAGAUAUACACGGGCAAGUCGGGCAAGUCAAUUCGUGCGUCUAAAGGAGUUCCUGUCAGAGCAAUUCGAGACUUCCUCAACCACUCGAGUGCCUGUUGAACAGUUAGGGUUUCUCCCAUGUGAGCCGAUUGAGCUCGGAUCUUCUGCGCGAAGCCUGCAAUACUCACCUCAUCCGCUCCUCUGCAUAUUCCGGUGAUGGAUUUCUCUGAUUUCUCUUCCUGCCAAGAGCAAUCGACAUUUAUUUUCAAGGCACCUAGAUCUGGAGGCAUCUAGGUAUGCUGUUCUGAGGUAAUUUCUUUCCUUCAUGGAUUCCACUUCUCAUAGAGCUGCUAGGAGAGAAAGGCUUCACUGAUUAUCUGUGCUUGUUUUGUUUUCCGGCCUUGAAAGAGCAGAGCAUUUCGGGCCUUCCAGAUUUGCCAAAGAGUGAUCGCGAAAAUUGCCUUUUGGCUUGUCGAGAUGCCAAACCGAAGGUAUUCACUUACCCAUCUAUCUGUUCUUGUUAUAGAGGUAGGGGAAACAUCUAUGUCGACAUUAUAAUUCAGCCAUAUUUCUUGUGUCCACUGACACAGCCAGAAGAGAUGCUUGGAGGACUCUAGAAACUGGUGACAAAAUGGACAUGUCGGCUCAAGUAUGAUUUUUCUCCGGUAUAAAUUGACUCUUGUAGGGAGACUUUCAUUACAUAAACUCCACAUGAAAUGUCUGAUUCUGGGGAUAGUCUGUAAAUGGCAGAUUUCUGUCCAUAGUCGUUUUAGUACCUGAUAUGAAGAGGAUGCCUGGUUUUCUGUGAUGGUUGUGUUCGCUACUCGUAAUUUAUGAUAUCCACUUUUGAGUUUAUAGUUCCUUGAGUAAUGCCCUGUCCAUAUUAAACGGUCAGGUCUGGUAAGUAUGCUGAGUGUUGUUGCCUGAAUUUCCUCUGAGAUGUUGUUGUCGAAGAGCUCAUUGAUAAGUUGACUAUUCCAUGCACGCAUAUUUGGAUCAAUAAUAUCUUCCACUAGCUUAGAGUCAUUUCGAUUCGCCGACCCUCCAAUUCUACCUGACAUUAGCCAACGAUCUUCUCUCAAGUUGAUAGAUUUGCUGUCCUCGACCUCCCAUUCCAGAUCAGGUUUUAGGGCAUCUCGGCCAAUUAGGAUACUCUGCCAACCCCAAGAUGGUCUGGCCUCCUUUGUAGUAGUCCAUAGAUUACCAUGAGGGAAGUAGAGACCUUUAAAAAUUCUGCUCCACAAGGCCUCAGAAGCUUGAUUUAGUCUCCAGGCUUGUUUUCCCAACAUAGCUUUGUUAAAUUCCACUAAAUCUUUAAACCCCAUUCCUCCUUGUUCCUUCCUCAUCUUUAAAACGUUCCAACUCUUCCAGUAAAUACCUUUUUGUUGUGCAUUCUACUUCCACCAGAAAGCUGAGACUUUCCUUUCAAUCGCUUAGCAAAUGGAUAGAGGUAUUUUAAAGAUAUUCAUGGCAUAUUGGGGUAAUGCCUGAACAACCAUUUUAAUUAGCACUUCUUUUCCCACCUUCAAUAUUAAUUGCUCUUUCCAUCCCUCCAGUUUUCUGUCCACCCGUGCUAUGAUCCAAUCUAACAUAUGUUUUUUAGUUUGGCCCCGAUCGGAUGGUAUCCCUAAGUAUUUUCCAGUUUUGUCUAAGAUAGGAACCCUCAAUUCUGAUGCAAUAUUUCAUUUCAAAUCCUGUGGACAGCUUGCCCUAAAAAACACUCCAGAUUUUGUCUAAGAUAGGAACCCUCAGUUCUAAUGCAGUAUUUCAUUUCAAAUCCUGUGGACAGCUUGCCCCAAAAAACACUCCAUAUUUGUUAAGAUUAACUAACUGACUAGAAGAAAACCAGUAGCAAUUUAGGAUAUUAGUAAGAUUCUAAGCUUCCCUAAUAGUUCCAUCCAAGAAGAAAAUGGCAUCAUCCGCAAAGAAUAGGUGGGAUAAGAUAGGGCAGUGUGGAUUCAGUUUGAUACCCUUUAAGCUUCCAUCCAUAAUAGCAUUAUGCACCAUGUGGGAGAGAACAUUGGACAAAAUUAUGAAAAGAUAAGGUGAGAGAUGAUCCCCUUGUCUAAUACCUCUAGUUGGAGUGAAAGAUUCCCCUGCUUCGCCAUUAAUUAGUAAACAAAAUUGAGCUAAAGAGAUAUAGAAUUUGACCAUAUUCACCCAUUUAUUGUUGAAACCCAUCUUCUUCAUACAAUCACAUAGAAAGUCCCACUCAACUCUAUCGUACGCUUUAUGCAUAUCUAGCUUCAACACAGCUUGGAAUUUUCUACCUCUCUUUCUAACCCGCAGCUGAUGUAGUACUUCUUGAACAAUAAAAAUAUUGUCUUGUAUUUGCUGGCCACUGAGGAAUGCACUUUGUUCCAAGGAGAUAAUGAGUGGAAGCCAAGGUUUGAGUCUAUUCGCCAUGACCUUUGUAAUAACUUUGUAGCUAAAGUUGCACAAGCUUAUUGGUCGGAAUUCUAUUAUGCUCUCGGGAUUUGCCACUUUGGGGAUAAGUGUGAUAAGGGUCUCAUCAAGUGCUGGAUCAAAGCUGCCUUCUUUGACAAAAGAAUCCACUAGGUUGAAUAUGUCUUCAUGAAUAAUAUGCCACUGACUUUGAUAGAAAAGACCACUCAAACUGUCUGGUCCAGGGGCUUUUGCUGCCCCCAUUUGAAAAACAGCUUGUUGCACCUCCUCCUUAGUAAUUUGUUCUGUUAACAACACAUUCAUUUCCUCAUAAACAACAAUUGGACAUUGCUCUAAGACUGAUAGAUAGUAACGGGAUCCCACAAAUUUAUAGGAUUCAAGUCAGUUUAGUUGCCCUCUGACUUUUGAUUAUUAAAUAUAUAUAUAUAUAUAUAUAUAUAUUGUAGAUAUUGAAAUUUAAUCUUACAUUUGCCAACAACUGCCAUCACUACUAGGAUCCUACAUGAUUUGAAUUGUUCAAGUCAAACCGACCCUUUGGACCCAAAAAUAAAAGUCAAACUGAUCCUCCAUCAUCAACCUCAAAAAGAAUACAUAGCUAGUUCACUUAUGCGCUCGAGGUGGGUCCUGUUCCUACACAUUAGCCCCUAAUAAGAUAUUCCUACACGUUCUCCAUUAUCUUUCAAUAUUAACAAAUAUUUGAGACUGAGUAGAAUGCUUCCGAUCGAAAAUCUUAAGUUUUCCAUCUAAUUUUAAGAGAUAAGUGUACUUUACGUCCUAAAACUUGUCAUAAAUAUAUAAUUGAAUCUUAAAAUUUUCAAAAAAUAUGAUCAAGUCCUAAAACUUAUUAAAUUAGUGCCAUAAGUCUUUUCGUUAAUUACAUCCAAUUUAGUUAAGGAAAAUUAUUGACGUGGUUUUUUUUAUUAUUUUUCUUUCUCUUAUACGCAACGCUAACAUGACUAAUAUACAAAGGAUAAGGCUAAAGUGACUUUAUAUUUGGUCCAAAUAUGAUUUUUUUUUAAAAUAUUAUUUUAAUUAGAUUAAAAAAUAUAAAAAGGAAGGAAGGCAAAACAAUAAGCGCCUAUAGGGCCUUCAUUGUGGCCGCCCACCACUACCAAGAAAGGUCGGUGAUGGUGGGGGAUAGUCAACCAAGAGUCGGCGAGGGUUGGCAACCCUCGCCCAAUCUAGGGGUGGGCCUACAGGCCCUCGCUUACGGUUGGUAAAGGUCGCUAGAUGCUAGCCAACAAUCCUCUACCAUCAUUGACCCUUCUCAAUGAUGAUGGGGCGGCGAAAGCCCCCACUGACUGGAUUUUUCUUUUUUUAAAGUUAGCUUAUUUUUUAAGAUAAUUUAAAUACAACUUCGAUUGAAAAACUAAAUUUGGACUAAAACGAUGUUGUUUUAGCCACGUUAGCACCAUUUAACAGAGAAAAAAAAAUCACAUGAGCAAUUUCUAUUAAUCAAAUUUGACAGAGUUAAUGGAAGCACUUGAUUUCACCAAUUUGAUUUGUUUUAAAACUUGAUAUCACAUUUUGUAAGUUUUAUAGUUCAAUUGCAUUUUCGUAACAAGUUUUAAAACUUUCGAUGAUUUAUUUCUAAAAUUAAUUAUCAUUGAGUCGGGUAAGCUCACUAAAAUAUCUGCAAAGAUCUAAUGCCACAUAAGAUAUUAUUAUUUAGGGCAUCAAAAAAGGAUCGGUCAAUGUCAGAUAGGGUUUGGUGUUUCUUUAGUUUAUAUAAUGAGUUUUUGUUAAUUUGGAGCCGGAAUUACCCGAUUGAUUAGGGUUAUAAUAUGGGGCAAUAUCUGUUGGUGCUUCCUUUUAACUAAUUAAAAAGAGGCAAGAAAAGGAGAAGACAAACAGACACAUUCACAGAGUGUCGAUGUCCAUGUAGACCCUUUCCUGGGGUUACAAAAGUGAAACGAUUGUAACGAAAGCGCAACAAUGUGAGGAGAGGACAACACGAAUGGGACAAGACCCGAGGCAUUUUUAUUAUCGAGUUUUACAAACAUAGAAAAAUUUCAUCUCAAAGAAUUAGUUGGUGCGAUACGGUUAAUAAUCGUAUCUAGACAUAUAACUUCUUUACUUAACCUUUCAAUUCAAAGUGGGUUGAACUAAUUAUAUUGACCAAUAUCGGAUUAGACUCCCUCUUGCAUAUGCUUAGAUGAUGGUAUCGGGCUUCCGUUGUACUCCACCCAUAUUAUCCUUUCAUUUACAUUUCAUUUUUGGGAAUUUUCUAAUGAUGAUACUAGUUCUAUUUAUUUUGCAAAAAAUGAAUAAUUUGAAAGAUAUUUUUCUAAAAGACAGUCACUUAUAUCACUUACAAAAAUGAAUGAAUAAAUAAAAGAAAUAAAUUUUAUCAUUCACAAAGAUGUUUAGAUAUAAAUUAUUGUUAAUAAUGAAAAUAUUUUCUAUCGACUAAUUAUUUCAAGCAAUCUAAAUGAGCAAUUUUUAAAAGAUUUUUGGGGCUGCUUUCAUGGUUGAUAUUCAUUAAAUCUGUUACAGUACUCGCUAACUGCAGAUGUAACAAGAGGGUAUCUGCACAAAUCCUUAUGUGCCACAAUGGAGUUCAUUUUAGAAACUGAUAAGGGUAUGACAUGCUUCCUCAUUGAUUCUAAAUCAAUUUUGGCAAUGAUAACUUGCGGGAAGGAUCUAAUCCAGUGCUUCCUCUGUUAAUUUUUUCAGCUGAGCUUCUUGAUCAAUCAGCUUCUCCUGAGAUGGUUAUCUUUUACAUUACUCAGGAUACCCAAAGACAUCCAUUGCUUCCUGAGUUGAAAUCAGGCAAACUUCUAUAUGUAUCUAUCUUUCAGUCUCUAGCAUAAUUCUGAACUAUAGUCAAUUGGUCAGAUAGAAAAUUGUAAUACGCUUAUUUAUCUGCUCAUGCAUAUUUGGAUGAAAAGCGACAGGAUGGACAAGUUCUGCUAUAAUCAAUUGUAAAAGUCUCAUUGGUUUUGUUGCUAUAUCUAAAGAAAAUAUGCAUUCGCCUGAUCCAACUUCUUACGAGGAAGAUGUUGACGUACAGGUGGUUUUCGAGUGACUGGAAAGAUGUCCAUUCAGUGUGCUCUGUCAGACCCAAUUAGUGGAGAGCUUAUUGUGGAAACAUCUGCAGUUCCAAUUCGCUCUGCUGACAUACACAUACUUCGAAUUGAGUCGAUUCUUUUUGGAGAUAGAAUUGUGACCGACACGUCCUUGAUACAAACAACCCAGGUGCGUAAUUUUUUAACUAAAUAGAUGUAUAUUUCUGGAUCAAAAUCUUCCUUAACAAUGUCCUUCUACAUGUACUAGAUAGCAGAUGGGGAUGUGUGUCAGUCUCAGCAUAUGAUAUUCCUCCUCGCCUCUUAACUUGUCCAACGACCUUGGCUGGGUGAGUUGCUGGAUUCACAUUGCCACACUCUACAUGAGUUACAACACAGCUACAGCUGAGGUGAUUAAGCCACAAUGUAAGAACACUUUCCCCAGUGAAAUUUUCAAUUAAGGGGAAAAGGACUCUAAAUUGCCUCAAUACU
rnacentral:lncRNA from 1 species